AGGAAUAUAUAAAAGAUUUUGAUUAGCAUUAUCUUAAUUCUUAAGAGGGCAAGCCAUGGGAUGGGAACACAUAAUGUGGCAUGAUGUGCGAAUGAGAAGAUGCACUUAAUGGGUGACAUUCAAAUAAGAAAACAAGGUAAAGGGAAAAGAAGAAUGGCCACCGAUUCUCCCAUGUGGCCCUCUUGUAGAAAGCAUCUCUUCUUUUGCAAUCCUCACACAAUAAUUUUUUCGCCAAAAAAAAAGAAAAAAAAACACACACACACAAAAUAAUGUUUAUUUUUAACCCUUAGGCCCAAGCAAUACACACAUUACACACAUUGGCCAAUAAGUAAAAAUUGCAAUUGGUUGGGUACAAUCCUACAGCCUCCGCGUAAAGUCACUUUCCCAUUUCUCAUAUCUUUGACACAAGUCAAUCAACUUUGGAAUUGGACCCACUCGCAUUAAUUAUCAUACUUCAAAAUUUGAAUGUUACCACUAUUUAGCUUUAUAAUUAGGGUAAAUUUGGUAAUGUCCUAUUUUUCAAAAUAAUAUAUGUAUAGAUAGAGAGAAUUAA
rnacentral:lncRNA from 1 species